rnacentral:rRNA from 1 species
AUUGAACGCUGGCGGCAGGCCUAACACAUGCAAGUCGAGCGGUAGCACAGAGAGCUUGCUCUCGGGUGACGAGCGGCGGACGGGUGAGUAAUGUCUGGGAAACUGCCUGAUGGAGGGGGAUAACUACUGGAAACGGUAGCUAAUACCGCAUAACGUCGCAAGACCAAAGUGGGGGACCUUCGGGCCUCAUGCUAUCAGAUGUGCCCAGAUGGGAUUAGCUGGUAGGUGGGGUAACGGCUCACCUAGGCGACGAUCCCUAGCUGGUCUGAGAGGAUGACCAGCCACACUGGAACUGAGACACGGGCCAGACUCCUACGGGAGGCAGCAGUGGGGAAUAUUGCACAAUGGGCGCAAGCCUGAUGCAGCCAUGCCGCGUGUGUGAAGCAGGCCUUCGGGUUGUAAAGCACUUUCAGCGGGGAGGAAGGCGGUGAGGUUAAUAACCUCAUCGACUGACGUUACCCGCAGAAGAAGCACCGGCUAACUCCGUGCCAGCCGCCGCGGUAA